CCUCUACCUUUUAAGCAAGUGAUGUUGGAGACCACAUGAUGUCUCUGUCAGAGGCACAUUCUCAAUGAGCAACCCCUCUUCCUCACAUAAGUACAUACGCAUAUGCACAAAGACCCUGCUAUAGAAAUUUUAAAAGGAAGGUAGAAAACUAUGGUGACCCACUGGAUCCUUUUCUCCCUCCCGCUGAUCAACUUAACUGAUAGCCUCAACUUGAAAAUGAAGGAACAAACUUUCCUCACCACCUUCCCACUCCAAAUUAUCUUCCUCUUCAGAAAGUCUGACCCGCAUCUUGAUAUGUCUCUAGGACAAAGACCAGGUCACCUGUCUCAAGUGGACUAGAGCGGCCGGGCUGCCUCUAAUCUUCCCCAUCCUUCACAGGCAAAGACUGAAAAUGGCAGAUGCAACUGCAAGAGAAAGCAACCUGCCCCUUUAAGUGCAUUCCAGAUCGAAGGUUAACCCACUGAAGACCUGCUACCCUGUUAACUUGCUCCUACAGUGUCUGUUUAACAGAAGCAUAUCCUGAGAUCCUUAAGCGUCUCCCUCGGCAGCCAUUCAAGCGGGGAAAGUCGCUGGAGGAGCCCAGCCUCCCGCCCCCAGAGGGGGCCCCACGCCUGGUGCCGGAAACACAAAGGGAGCCCAGGGAGAAGAAUGGUGAGGCCCGGCGGCUGUGGCCUGAGGAAUCCGGGGGCCCUUCCCACCAGGCCCCAAGGAAGAGAGACAGGAGGGCAUGCCUAGUGCCAGAGAACUUCCCUGGGGAAGAGAAAGCAGCUUCUUGCCCGCACCAUCUCAAAAGCAGGGCCGUUAAAGCAC